AGAAGUGAUGACCGCAGGAAGAGGCGCUGCCUUUUUACCUGCCUGUCGUCAUUGUGAGCACACAAUCAGUCCACAGGGUCCAGGUUACCGUCUCCAUCUGUUGACAUACGGAAACCAAGGCAACCAAGCCGGCCUCCUGGCCUUCCUUACCCCAAAAUUCCGAGCAGAGACUCCCCGGGACAGAAUCUGUUGUUGGUGCACAACCUCUCCCAGAAAGAACUUGGUGUCCUUAGGGACAAGUUCUUGGGCAGAUCAUUGCAGUAGAAACUGUAGCUCAAGUCAACGUCAACGUCAAGUCAACAUCAGUCCUGAACUAACUUCAGGUAGAGCAAGUAGAAGGAAUGGAACAAGAGAAUGAUUUAAAG
rnacentral:lncRNA from 1 species